AGCAGUGUAGCUAAGUGGAUAAAGCAUGAGUCUGGGAGUCAGAGGACUUGGGUUCUAAUCCCUGCUCUGUCA
rnacentral:tRNA from 1 species